rnacentral:lncRNA from 1 species
GAAAUCUGUUCUUUCCCAUAGGUCAUUCCAUUCACAGGUUGUAUAAUGUUCUCAUAUGCCUUUAGGAAUGUCUCCUUCAUGUAACACUUGUCUAUAUAAGUGUCAGGCCCAUUCCCUCUCUUAUGGUUAAUAGCUAACACUGCAUGACAGGACCCGCCUCGAAUUUCUGGAAACCCGAGAUGAAUCCUCUGGAAAUUCCGACAUCACCCCGAGGACCCAGUCACUAAAACUAAAGCCUCAUUUCCCAAAAAGAAUAAGGGCACGAGACUUUUU